rnacentral:rRNA from 1 species
UAGGGAAUCUUCCGCAAUGGACGAAAGUCUGACGGAGCAACGCCGCGUGAGUGAUGAAGGUUUUCGGAUCGUAGAACUCUGUUGUUAGGGAAGAACAAGUACAAGAGUAACUGCUUGUACCUUGACGGUACCUAACCAGAAAGCCACGGCUAACUACGUGCCAGCAGCCGCGGUAAUACGUAGGUGGCAAGCGUUGUCCGGAAUUAUUGGGCGUAAAGCGCGCGCAGGCGGUCCUUUAAGUCUGAUGUGAAAGCCCACGGCUCAACCGUGGAGGGUCAUUGGAAACUGGGGGACUUGAGUGCAGAAGAGAAGAGUGGAAUUCCACGUGUAGCGGUGAAAUGCGUAGAGAUGUGGAGGAACACCAGUGGCGAAGGCGACUCUUUGGUCUGUAACUGACGCUGAGGCGCGAAAGCGUGGGGAGCAAACAGGAUUAGGUACCCUGGUAGUCCACGCCGUAAACGAUGAGUGCUAAGUGUUAGAGGGUUUCCGCCCUUUAGUGCUGCAGCAAACGCAUUAAGCACUCCGCCUGGGGAGUACGGCCGCAAGGCUG